rnacentral:rRNA from 1 species
UAGGGAAUAUUAGAAAUGGACGAAAGUCUGAUCUAGCAACACCCCGUGUGCGAAGAAGGCCUUUUGGUCGUAAAGCACUUUUUGGAAGGAAUAGGAAGGAAUGUACUUCCAGAAUAAGUCUCGGCUAACUACGUGCCAGCAGCCGCGGUAACACGUAGGAGGCAAACGUUAUCCGGAUUUACUGGGCGUAAAGCGCGUGUAGGUGGUACUGUAAGUAGGGCGUGAAAGCUCCUGGCUCAACUGGGAGAGGCCGUUCUAAACUACAGAACUAGAGGAUGGUAGAGGGAGGUGGAAUUCCAGGUGUAGCGGUGGAAUGCGCAGAUAUCUGGAGGAACACCGGUGGCGAAGACGGCCUCCUGGACCAUUCCUGACACUCAGACGCGAAAGCUAGGGUAGCAAACGG